GGCACAUGUGAUGAAAUACUGACCUUAGGCUGGCAGAGUGGACCGUCUUGGUCAUCUCAGCUCUGCCGGCCAGUGAUAGGCUUGUCAUAGUUACUCUGAUGUGCC